rnacentral:tRNA from 1 species
GCCCUGGUGGCACAAACGGUUGAGCAUUUGUCUGCUAACCAAAAGGUUGGUGGUUUGAAACCACCUAGAAGCU